AUUUUUUUAAAAGUAAUUGCAGUAUAACGACUAUAUUGGGAUCAUAAGUGCGUAUGUUCGAUUAGAAAGGAUCUGAUUGAAAAUGAAAUUUGAUAAACGAACAAGUUGAAGAUUAGUUUAAAAAUUGCUUACCUUCCUUCUCGAGGAUCACUACAAUUGGUUCAGCCUCCUGCAAGAUGUGUUUCAACCUAGUCGAUGGGAAUUCAGGGUCCAAAGGUAAAUAAGCCAUGCCAGAUUUCAAUAUCGAUAAUAAAAUUGUUGGUAAUUUUUCAGUUGGCCUCAUACAAACGGCUACCAAUGGUUGACUAUCAAUUCUAAUUUUCUCAGCAUAUUUUCCUAAUGCUCUUGCCAAUCGAUUCGUUAAUUUGUCUAAUUUUUUAUAAGUCAUUUCUCGCACCUCGCCGUUAGCAUCUAACAAAUCAAAAAAUCGAAGAUCAGUACGAAGUUCGAAAUGUUACUACAAAAAAAAGAGAGAAACAAAAGAAAUCUUUCAUUAAUUUGAAAUUUCGUUUUAUUGAUCAUCUUCACCUUCGAAAAUGAUGGCAAUAUCAUCAACAUGUUUACACGCUGUUUCGCUGAAUAAUUUGUGAAGUAAUUCCACCUCUUCGUUCCUAUUUACUUGACGACCUUUCAAAAUUGAUUGCUGUUGUAGGGUACCCAUCUAAAAUCGGACAUCAAAAAUGGCAUUGAAAGAGGAUAUUAUUGUGAUCUGACGUUAUAAAAAUCUUGGUUUCUCAAUGAAAAUGAAUAUGAUAAACGUUUCACUAAUAAUCGCUCUUACUUAUAGUUUGGAUGAGGAAUCUUUGAAAUAUUUCGUAGAACAUUAAAUCUAAAUGUACUGUUAAAAAUAUAACAAAACGAUCACAUAUUGUAGAUGCAAAAAGUAAAAUGACUAUGAUAUAUGGAGACUAUUGCAUAGAUCAACCGUUUACGUAAGCAUUUGUAAAAUAACAAGAAGGUUGAUCAACCAGUACAUUAACUAUCAACGAAAGAUGCAAAGAGUAAAAUGACUACGAAAUAUGGAGACUAUUGCAUAGAUCAACCGUUUACGUAAGCAUUUGUAGAACAACACGAAAGUUGGUCAACCAGUGCGUUAAGUAUCAACGAAAUGUAUUCAUACUGUAAAAUAUUAAACGAAAUACUUAAGAAAUAAUACACAUGUAAACGUUAUAUAUUCUAAAGAAGAAAGUUCAUUAAAUCAAUAAAUCAACUAGCAGAGAGAGAGAGAGAGAGAGAGAGAGAGAGAGAGAGAGAGAGAGAGAGAGAAGAGAGUGUCUAUACCGUGAAUUAUUCAACGAAAUAUUUAAGAAAUAAAGUACGUGUAAAUGUUAUAUUUUACUUCCAAUUUUUUAUAGCUUAUAAAGUUUCAAGAAACUAUUUAAUCUGAUCGCGUGAAUUAUGAUCGCUACGUUGCUGUAUCUCUAUAACAACUGGAAUUAUAUAUACUAUAACGACUAAUGUGACUAAUUGACACUUUUAGAAUGUCACACGAGAUCAUCUUAAAGUAAAUUAAACGUCCUGAAUACUUGAAAAAAAUAAAAUUUAUGAGGAACAUUAGAACACAUUUAUGAAUAUAGGUAUGUAACGUGACACUGAACAUUUGUAACAAGGAACACAAUAUAUGUUAAUUAGCUAUCAGUUACAAUAUUAUUGAGUUAUAUAAAGAUUAUCGAAAGAUAUCUUCGAUACUCACC